rnacentral:rRNA from 1 species
UCUAGAAGCUUCGGCAAUGGGGGGAAACCCCUGACCGAGCGACGCCGCGUGCAGGAUGAAGGUCUUCGGAUCGUAAACUGCUUUCGCUGGGGGAGAAAUGCCUGGAGGUGAAUAAUCUUCAGGUUAGACGGUACCCAGUAAAGAAGCCCCGGCUAAGUCCGUGCCAGCAGCCGCGGUAAUACGGGCGGGGCGAGCGUUGUUCGGAUUCAUUGGGUGUAAAGGGUGCGAAGGCGGUCGUCUAAGUCGAAGGUGAAAUGUCUACGGCUCAACCGAGGCAUUGCCUCCGAUACUGGACGACUUGAGUGCGGAAGGGGAGCGUGGAAUUCCUGGUGUAGCGGUGAAAUGCGUAGAUAUCAGGAGGAACACCGGUGGCGAAGGCGACGCUCUGGUCCGCAACUGACG